rnacentral:rRNA from 1 species
AAUCAUGGCUCAGGAUGAACGCUGGCGGCGUGCUUAACACAUGCAAGUCGAACGGGAAUUACUUUAUUGAAACUUCGGUCGAUUUAAUUUAAUUCUAGUGGCGGACGGGUGAGUAACGCGUGGGUAACCUGCCUUAUACAGGGGGAUAACAGUCAGAAAUGGCUGCUAAUACCGCAUAAGCGCACAGAGCUGCAUGGCUCAGUGUGAAAAACUCCGGUGGUAUAAGAUGGACCCGCGUUGGAUUAG